GACGAACGCUGGCGGCGUGCUUAACACAUGCAAGUCGAACGGAAAGGCCCUGCUUUUGUGGGGUGCUCGAGUGGCGAACGGGUGAGUAACACGUGAGUAACCUGCCCUUGACUUUGGGAUAACUUCAGGAAACUGGGGCUAAUACCGGAUAGGAGCUCCUGCUGCAUGGUGGGGGUUGGAAAGUUUCGGCGGUUGGGGAUGGACUCGCGGCUUAUCAGCUUGUUGGUGGGGUAGUGGCUUACCAAGGCUUUGACGGGUAGCCGGCCUGAGAGGGUGAACGGCGACAUUGGGACUGAGAGACGGCCCAGUCUCCUACGGGAGGCAGCAGUGGGGAAUAUUGCACAAUGGGCGGAAGCCAGAUGCGGCAACGCCGCGUGCGGGAUGACGGCCUUCGGGUUGUAAACCGCUUUCGCCGGUGACGAAGCGUGAGUGACGGUAAUGGGUAAAGAAGCACCGGCUAACUACGUG
rnacentral:rRNA from 1 species